UGAGGAAUAUUGGUCAAUGGGCGAGAGCCUGAACCAGCCAAGUCGCGUGAAGGAAGACUGCCCUAUGGGUUGUAAACUUCUUUUAUACAGGGGUAAAAGAUGGGACGUGUCCUAUAUUGCAAGUACUGUAUGAAUAAGCAUCGGCUAACUCCGUGCCAGCAGCCGCGGUAAUACGGAGGAUGCGAGCGUUAUCCGGAUUUAUUGGGUUUAAAGGGUGCGUAGGCGGGAUAAUAAGUCAGCGGUGAAAUCUUGAGGCUCAACCUUAAAACUGCCGUUGAAACUGUUGUUCUUGAGUACAGAUGAAGUAGGCGGAAUUCGUUGUGUAGCGGUGAAAUGCAUAGAUAUAACGAGGAACUCCGAUUGCGUAGGCAGCUUACUAAACUGUCACUGACGCUGAGGCACGAAAGCGUGGGUAUCAAACA
rnacentral:rRNA from 1 species